rnacentral:rRNA from 1 species
GAUGAACGCUGGCGGCGUGCUUAACACAUGCAAGUCGAACGGUGAACGAGGGAGCUUGCUCCCUCCGGAUCAGUGGCGAACGGGUGAGUAACACGUGAGCAAUCUGCCCCGAACUCUGGGAUAAGCGCUGGAAACGGCGUCUAAUACCGGAUACGACGCGCGAAGGCAUCUUCUGCGCGUGGAAAGAAUUUCGGUUCGGGAUGAGCUCGCGGCCUAUCAGCUAGUUGGUGAGGUAACGGCUCACCAAGGCGACGACGGGUAGCCGGCCUGAGGGGGUGACCGGCCACACUGGGACUGAGACACGGCCCAGACUCCUACGGGAGGCAGCAGUGGGGAAUAUUGCACAAUGGGCGCAAGCCUGAUGCAGCAACGCCGCGUGAGGGACGACGGCCUUCGGGUUGUAAACCUCUUUUAGUAGGGAAGAAGCGAAGUGACGGUACCUGCAGAAAAAGCACCGGCUAACUACGUGCCAGCAGCCGCCGCAGUAA